rnacentral:rRNA from 1 species
AACGAACGCUGGCGGCAGGCCUAACACAUGCAAGUCGAACGCUCCGCAAGGGGAGUGGCGGACGGGUGAGUAACACGUGGGAACCUACCUCGAGGUGCGGAGCAACCAAGGGAAACUUUGGCUAAUACCGCAUGUGCCCUUAGGGGGAAAGAUUUAUCGCCUUGGGAUGGGCCCGCGUCGGAUUAGCUAGUUGGUGUGGUAAUGGCGCACCAAGGCGACGAUCCGUAGCUGGUCUGAGAGGAUGAUCAGCCACACAGGGACUGAGACACGGCCCAGACUCCUACGGGAGGCAGCAGUGGGGAAUAUUGGACAAUGGGCGCAAGCCUGAUCCAGCCAUGCCGCGUGUGUGAUGAAGGCCUUAGGGUUGUAAAGCACUUUCGCCGAUGAAGAUAAUGACUGUAGUCGGAGAAGAAGCCCCGGCUAACUUCGUGUCCAGCAGCCGCGGUAAU